UCUGGUGGGUUCGGGUUGCUUUGUGUUGUUGACUGCUAAUUCACUGAUGACCAAGAUAGGAGGUUCACAUUCUCGGGCCUCAUUCAUUCUCUGCGUGGCCAGUACCCAGCUGGACACUUCCUGGGAGGCACCAAAGACAGAGGAACUCAUGGCGGCGAGAGAAGAUGCUUGGACUCUGUGACUGCAAGAGUGGCCACCAGGCAGAGCGUCGCUACUUGCCUCUAAUGUCUGCUCCCUAAAAGCUAGACAUGUCAGUCAAGGGACUCCAGGAGGAAAAUGGGGCAGUUUGUGAUGGCAAUAAGUAAAAAACUGAAGCAGAUGAAAUCAGCUCUGCUAAACCCCCUCUUUUUCUCAAAUACCUUAAAAACAAGCCCUACGUCUGCUCAGUGCUUUCCAAUUUACCAAGUGUUUUCAUAACAUUAUCUCAUUUCAUUCUCACUUCAACCCACACACAUUCUUGCCUUUUAGAUUUCUUAUGUACGCAAAUGAGUUUCACCGAAAAAUUGGCUAGAAACUUCCCUUCUCCUACUCACUGUCUUUUUUUAACCCCAAGCCUUUGACUAUCUUUAAGAAGCUCCCAGAUUCCCAGGGUGAGAAAAUUGUUUAUCCUGCCAGCCCUGCCCUCCUGGAUGGAUCCCAGUGGUCUUUGCUAUUGGAACCAGAGGUUUUGUAUUCAGUUCAUAGUGUAGCUGUGAAAACAAACAAAACCACAGAGGCAUGGUAAGUGUGGUAUGGUGGGGAAAACAUCAGCUCUGGAAACAGC
rnacentral:lncRNA from 1 species